AGUCUAUUCAGAGGAACCUGUUCUAUAAUCGAUAAUCCACGAUUUUAUAUACUUACUUUAAUAUUUGCAUAUCGUCGUAGGUUGAAUAUUUUAAAAGAAUUUAUCAAUAUUCAAGAUUUUUUUUAAAAAAAGAAUUCAGAUCAAGGUGUAGUUUAUAGGUAAGAAGUAAUGGGUUACAAUAAAUUUAUUUAAACGAAUGAGUUAUAUAGAGUAAAUUUUGAAGGCGGAUUUGAAAGUAAUUUUAAAAAAAUAUUUAAAAUGAUUUUAGCUUUAAAAUAUGUACAUAUCGCCCGUCGCUUUCACUCUAAGGUGGAAUAAGUCGUAACAAAGUAGGUGUACCGGAAGGUGCCCCUGGAGAA
rnacentral:rRNA from 1 species